rnacentral:rRNA from 1 species
AUUGAACGCUGGCGGCAUGCUUUACACAUGCAAGUCGAACGGCAGCGCGGGGCAACCUGGCGGCGAGUGGCGAACGGGUGAGUAAUAUAUCGGAACGUACCCUGGAGUGGGGGAUAACGUAGCGAAAGUUACGCUAAUACCGCAUACGAUCUAAGGAUGAAAGUGGGGGAUUCGCAAGAACCUCAUGCUCCUGGAGCGGC